AGCCGUUUGGCUAAGAGGAUAGAGUGUCAGCCUGCGAACUGAAGGGUCCCUGGUUUGAUUCCCGAAAAAGGUCA